AGGUAUCUUUUGGAGUACUCAGGGAAAGUUGUCCCCAGGCCCUAUAAAAGGCGAGCCAGCGGCAUGUGAAAUUGUGAGCUCAGAACUUCUCAGUGAGUCGACUCACUUCCAAAGAAGAUAAGACCAGGCCUUCCUUCUUCAGCUUCCUGUCCAGAUUGACUUAGAGAUGGCAUCACUGCAUGCUAGCUUGACAUCAGUCGUGUGCCAGAAUGGCAACCAUGCUUCUUCAGCAAAGUUCCCAAGUACUGCUUUCUUGCCUGGGUUUGAUGUGGUUGGGCGUGUCUCAAGUGCAUCUAAGAAGGAAACAUCUGCUAUAUCUGUUAGCACGGGCCCUAGAGCCACAUUAACAUUUGAUCCCCCAACAACCGAUUCAGAGAAAACCAAACAAAGGAAGCAUACAGUUGAUCCUGCUGCUCCUGAUUUUCUGCCACUUCCGUCCUUUGAACAAUGUUUUCCAAAGAGCACAAAAGAAUUUAAGGAAGUUAUUCAUGAACAAUCUGGUCAGAUACUCAAAGUUCCCUUUCGACGGAUCCACCUAGCUGGGGACGAACCACACUUUGACACUUACGACACCACUGGUCCUCAAAACAUUAGCCCUCGCAUUGGACUACCAAAACUGCGUAAAGACUGGGUUGACAGGCGGGAGAAAUUAGGUGCACCUAGAUACACGCAGAUGUACUAUGCCAAGCAGGGAAUUAUAACUGAGGAAAUGUUGUACUGUGCCACUCGUGAGAAGCUUGACCCAGAAUUUGUGAGAUCAGAGGUUGCUCGUGGUCGGGCAAUCAUCCCUUCCAAUAAGAAGCACCAGGAGCUAGAGCCAAUGAUAGUUGGAAGAAACUUUUUGGUCAAAGUGAAUGCAAACAUUGGAAACUCUGCUGUUGCGAGCUCCAUCGAAGAAGAAGUUUAUAAGGUCCAAUGGGCAACUAUGUGGGGUGCAGACACUGUCAUGGAUCUCUCUACAGGUCGCCACAUCCAUGAGACACGUGAGUGGAUCCUACGUAACUCUGCUGUACCAGUAGGGACUGUACCCAUCUAUCAAGCACUUGAAAAAGUGAAUGGAAUUGCGGAAAAUCUUACCUGGGAAGUUUUCAGAGACACCCUGAUUGAACAAGCUGAGCAGGGUGUAGAUUACUUCACUAUCCAUGCUGGCGUUCUACUACGAUACAUCCCACUAACAGCAAAGCGAAUGACAGGAAUUGUUUCCCGCGGAGGAUCCAUUCAUGCAAAAUGGUGCUUGACUUACCAUAAGGAGAAUUUUGCAUAUGAACACUGGGAUGACAUACUUGACAUCUGUAAUCAAUAUGAUGUGUCCCUGUCAAUAGGAGAUGGGCUGAGACCUGGGUCCAUUUAUGAUGCCAAUGACACUGCUCAGUUUGCAGAGCUCUUAACUCAGGGAGAACUGACCCGAAGAGCAUGGGAGAAGGACGUUCAGGUCAUGAAUGAAGGGCCUGGACAUAUUCCAAUGCACAAGAUUCCUGAAAACAUGCAAAAACAGCUGGAAUGGUGUAAUGAAGCACCUUUCUACACUCUUGGUCCUUUAACCACUGAUAUCGCUCCUGGAUAUGAUCAUAUCACCUCUGCAAUUGGUGCUGCCAAUAUUGGGGCUCUGGGCACUGCUCUUCUGUGUUAUGUUACUCCAAAAGAACACCUUGGGUUGCCAAAUCGGGAUGAUGUGAAGGCUGGAGUUAUAGCAUAUAAGAUAGCUGCUCAUGCAGCUGAUUUAGCCAAAGGUCACCCGCAUGCUCAAGCCUGGGAUGACACAUUAAGCAAGGCGAGAUUCGAGUUCCGGUGGAUGGACCAGUUUGCUUUGUCAUUGGAUCCUAUGACUGCCAUGUCCUUCCAUGAUGAAACCUUGCCAUCAGAAGGUGCCAAGGUGGCCCAUUUUUGCUCCAUGUGUGGACCUAAAUUCUGUUCUAUGAAGAUAACGGAGGAUGUGAGGAAGUAUGCUGAGGAGCACGGCUAUGGGAGUGCCGAGGAAGCUGUGCAGCGUGGGAUGGAUGCUAUGAGUGCUGAGUUUCUGGCUGCUAAGAAAACUGUCAGUGGAGAACAACAUGGUGAAAUAGGUGGAGAAAUCUACCUGCCAGCAAGUCACUUAAGUUCCUCCGAGCAUUGAAGGAUCACAUGCCUCCGGAGAAUCAGUUUGGAAUCGUGAAGACUUGGUGCAUGAUUACAUUAUCAAGAACACUGCUGGAAAGUUUGAAGGGUGCCUGUAUCUGCUUCAGCUCAAGCUAUUUGGCUGGGAUGUUGGCAGAUCAGGCUGAGACAGUCCCUUUGAACCUGAACAGGAUAAUGCCUGCGUAGGGAGCGUGCAUUUUCUUUCCUGUUUUUUUUUUCUGUGCUUGCACAGGGAGGAAGAAGCUUCUAUCCAUGGUUCGGGCUAGCUGAUCCAUGUGAAGGCAGAUUCAAUGUCAUGCAAUCCUGUGGCUGGGAAGUAGCUGGAACUGGCUUCUAUGUUUGUUUCUUUGUUUGUGUGCUUAUUAUGAUAAAGUCUUAGCGAACAAAAAAGAAAAAGAAAAAAGAAAAAUAAUGGCCAUAUAUAUACAUGAACUUUGUUCAAUCUCCAUAAGAUAAAUUACAUACUACUGUGUAAACCUUAUAAUUUAUUAUGGAAAAUUAAAAUAUUCAUACUUGAGUUUGACUGUGCAACGUUAAUACGUUGUAUAAGCACGGCUGAACAUCGCAGGGUCUAGGACUCUAAGCAUGCUUUUGUCCUAUUUGGGUUUGAUUAAAAGCUUUCUUACCCAUUUUUUGAGGUAAUUCCAAGCUUUUGACCGGUAUGUUUGGGAACAAAAAGAAUCUUGAUUGUAUUUGCUAGGGUUCAGGUUAUUAAAAAAUAAAUCAGAUUUUAUCUCAAAAAGUCAGAUUAUCCAAACAUUUUUUUUUAACUUUAUUUUCCAGUGAUAGAUUGAGGACUCAUUUACAGUUCAGAUUUUAUUUUUUUUGUAUUUAAUAUUGUACAUAAUGUCACCUUAUUUAAACAUGAUGUUAUACUAUUUUGGGAUAAUUGCACCAUCAGUUUUAUAUAUAUAUCAUUUCAUUUUUAAUUAGUAAAA